rnacentral:rRNA from 1 species
GAUGAACGCUGGCGGCGUGCCUAAUACAUGCAAGUCGAGCGAACAGACGAGGAGCUUGCUCCUCUGACGUUAGCGGCGGACGGGUGAGUAACACGUGGAUAACCUACCUAUAAGACUUGGAUAACUUCGGGAAACCGGAGCUACUACCGGAUAAUAUAUUGAACCGCAUGGUUCAAUAGUUCAAGACGGUUUUGCUGUCACUUAUAGAUGGAUCCGCGCCGCAUUAGCUAGUUGGUAAGGUAACGGCUUACCAAGGCAACGAUGCGUAGCCGACCUGAGAGGGUGAUCGGCCACACUGGAACUGAGACACGGUCCAGGCUCCUACGGGAGGCAGCAGUAGGGAAUCUUGCGCAAUGGGCGAAAGCCUGACGGAGCAACGCCGCGUGAGUGAUGAAGGUCUUCGGAUCGUAAAACUCUGUUAUUAGGGAAGAACAAAUGUGUAAGUAACUAUGCACGUCUUGACGGUACCUAAUCAGAAAGCCACGGCUAACUACGUG